GUGCUGGUGAAAUUCUUUAAAUACUUCUUCCCGUUCUUAGAAAGGGAAAACAAAUAUAAAUGGUAUAGCAGUUGUCUCGUGUGGUUUAGAGAACAGGAGAAAAUUCGUCUUGGCCAUUAUUCUGAAGUUUUGCAUAAUUAAGCUUCUUGAAUUAGUUUGAAAUAAGUAAUAACAAACAAACAAAAUAUAGUAGUGAACCAGAUAUUGAUAGUUGAUAUCUAACUGUAGUUGAGCUGUUCGGAAGUCUGUUUUCCUAUUUUGAUCAUGUAGUUGGAGAGCCCGUGAGCAGGUAUGACUACAACUGUACUAACAGCGGAAGUGGCAGGAAGCUGCCGUUUCCUUCGAACCAGAAGGAAAGUUUAUAGAACUCCUGAUGGGAACGUGGACUACAGAUGGAGAUAAAAGUCGGAAUAAUUUGUAUUUGUCCUAGCGUGGGCUGGAGGAGACGCGCAGCAAGGUGGAUGUUCUCCUCUCACAUCCUCAGAGGCCCAGGAGAAUCUGCUAGUGACCCUUGAUCAAGUCAUCUAUAUUCUUGGUAAGAGAUCAGGGACCCAAUUGCCUGGUCAGACACCAGGUAACCAACAUCAAGAUGAAGAGACUCAGGACUUCCCUGGUGGCACAGUGGUUGGGAAUCCGUCUGCCAAUGCAGGGGACAU